rnacentral:lncRNA from 1 species
ACAUAAAUCGAAGAACUUAAUGUAUAGCCACUCAAAUCUGACGUCACCAAGCACAGUUGAGGAAUCCAGUAAACCAGUGUGACCAAGCAUGGGAAACUGACCUGCCUCGAGUCCCCUUCACCAUACGUUCACACACCACAUGGAGCUUCACUCCCAAACCAGAUCAAGAUCCAGUACUGCGAUAACAAAUGAAACAAACAGACUGUCUACGAGACACUGACCUCCAUGUACAGAGCAAAGGUUUGGGCCCAAACUCCUAAUAACAAUUACUUGGCCAACCCACACACAAGACCAAGAGAACACAGGGAUCAAGAGUACAGAUAACAAGCAUGGAGAGCUAGUCAUUGCCCACAUGGCCUGGGAUAAAGAAAAAUCUGCAACCAUAGGAAGGGCAGGGGCAAAAACCUAUAUCAGAGAGAUGGCCAAGUAACUACAUGAAAAAUAAAAUAGGAAGGUAAGAAUCUUUUUCGGUUGUAGGAUGUGUCAUUAGUUGAAAGCUCUGGAUUAUCCUUAUAUUCGUGCUGCAUAUGAAUCUGUAUUUAAAAUAUUGUCUAGUAAGAUAAGUUAUAGGUUAUGUAUAAGUUACAAUGAAUUGAAACGACACUAGUAGAUUUAGAAGAUCAGUAGACGGAUUCAUCGUCAGGCUGGACAGGAGUUCGUCAACUACAUCCUGCAGCGAGCAAGAGACCGUUUCUAUAAAAAAAUUGUUAGGGGAAAUGCUGCUUAUAAAUAGCAAAAGCAUGAAUGAUGAGUGGGAACAAGUAAAGCCUGUCUAGGGUCAGGUAUGGAUGAUGGAGGACAACAACGCCAGUUCCAAACUGAAGUUAUAUCCUUUCCAAGUCAGUAUCUGCAAGAGCUGAUAAUUACCAAGGCAAAGAGAACCUAAUGUCUAGAGUUCAAUUAGAGUAAAAAAGGUUGAAAAAGUUUUAGCCACAGAAGGAACCGCCAUGCCGAGGAAAAAUAGGACCGCCUACUAAGCCAUAUCAUUCCAAUUUCUGGAGAGCCACCAAGAAAUAGUUUAAAUCAGAAUUGUGGAGAACCAAAACAGAACAGUGGAGACGAAAGAGUAAAACAGAGGGAGUGAUAAUUAUCCAAAUGCAGAGCAGCAAGAUGCGUCGCUCCCGCUAAGCCAUAUAAUUCCAAUUUCUGGAGAACCACGAACAUAUCCAAAUAUCCUGCACAUAGGCUCAGACUUCCUAAAUAUAUCCUGCAACUGAUACACGCAGAAGACCAGCACAGGAAUCAAGAGUACAAACCAAACGAUUUUAACAGAUUCCGACUCACUACCAGCAUGGUUUGGGAUUAAUCUGCAACCAAAUGGAGGGUAGAAGGAAAAACCUAAAUCAAAGACAUGAACAAGUAGCUACGUGAAACAAAAAUAAGAGGUGAGUUAAAACUGGAGCAGCCUUUUUCACUGUAAGAUGUUCCAUUAGUUUGAAUCUCCAUUGUUGAACCUUGGCAGAUAAAUCUGAAUUCAAAAUAUUGUCUGGUAAGAUAAUUUUAAAGGCUGACUAAGUUCUGAUGAAUUGAGAAAAUAGUUGAUUUAGAAGAACUGCAAACAGAUUCAAGUCGGCAUCAGGUUGGACGAGUUCAUCAAGUACGAUCUGCAACGAGGAAGAUACCUUUCUAUAAGUUACAAGAGGAAAACUAGGCUCAGCUAAAGCAUGCAUCAAAUGUUGAGGUAAAGGGUAAGUAAGCCUGUCUUGGCCGGAAAGUCAGGUAGACAACACUGGUUCCAAUUAUUUCGCCCCCAAGUCAGCAUCUGCACGAGCUGAGAAUUACCAACCAAGGCAAAGAAAAUAACAUUUUGAAAGUUCAAUUAUCAAGGGAGGAUAAAAGGUCGGAUAUGUUGGACCACAGAAAGAACCACCAUGCCGAGGAAAAAUGGGUCACCCGCUAAGCCAUAUAAUUCCAAUUUCUGGAGAACCAGCAGAAAUUCUAAAUCAGAAUUGUCGGGCAACUAAUUGAGCUAUGGAGAAGAAAUUGUCGGGCCUUAGGCAUUUGCCCGAAGAUCUUGAACCGAGGGUAGGAGGUCAGAGAUCUCCACGGCAGCGCCUCCAAACCGCUGCCGAUGAGCAACAACGGGGCAGGUCUUCACCCGGAGCAUCUCGAACACCACCUCCACGCGCCGCAAUCCGCUCACCCGCUCGCCUCCCAUGCAACAACCGCGCUAUCGCCGUAUGGGAGCCACCACGUAUCUCGCCGGCACCAUGUCGGGCCAGAUCCGGCCGCAACCGGAUCACCAUCUAGCCUCACGCCGGAACCCCGGCUGCCUUCAGCCACCAAACGGACGAGGCCGCCGGGCUAGCAAGCCAGCCAGAUUUGCAGCACCAAGCCGGGAGGGGGCGUGCCACCCUGCCCCAUCCCGCAGUGUGGAGCUGCCGACCCGAAGCACAGGCAGCCCGCAGCAGCCGCUACACCGCCAAGAGGGCGCCGUCGAACAUGCGUAAGCCGCCGACUGCCACCCCAUCUUCCAGAUCCAUGCGCCAGGAGCCACCAAGCCGCCACCAUCCGCCGGAUCCACAGCGGCAGGAGCUGCCAGUGCACCACCGAGACGCUGCCGAGCCGAGCACCACCAUCCCGCGCAGACCGCAGGCAACGCUCGUCGUCGCGCCGGAUCCGCACCUGGCCGCGCCCGCCCACAGCUCCGCGACGCAAAGGGAGACGGCCGCCGCCAGGAGCAGUCCUCCCGCCGCCGGCACCGCACGGGCUUUGCCCGAUGGUGGCCGGGGGGAGGGGGGAGGUGGCCGCUGGUUAACGGCUGGGGCGCCCCAAUGCCACCCGGGUGCGAGAGGCAAAAUAGUGCCAUACUUGCGGCGAUUUGGAUGAGAAGAAGAUGAUGUACUCCCUCCAUUCGAAAUUACUUGUCGCGGAAAUGGAUGUAUCUAGACGUAUUUUAGUUUUAGAUACAUCCAUUUCCGAGACAAGUAAUUCUGAACGGAGGAAGUACGUAUAUCCUAAGAAGUCUAUCGAUAUUUUUGUUAUUCAUGGAUCAAUGCAUUUUGGUCCUAUGCUUUAGAAAGGAAAGACAGUUUGAACCCCACAACGGUUAGGGUCACUUAUGCCGAAUAAUCCAAAAGUUCCAGGACAUCAGCAUCCACUCGACAAACAACUGCGGACAUUCUACUCGCCAAUGAUUCAACAACGUAUAUUAACAUCUGCGCUGAUCAAAUAUUUAAGAUACAGCGCGAUGAAAUUACGAGACGAGACAGACACUGUUGUUGGAAUUUGUAUACAGCCGAAACUGCAGCUAACAUCUACAGUAGUGCGCAAAGCUUGACUGACGGUGUGUCUAACUGAAAGAAACAAGGGCACGUACCUCUACACACGAGGUGAUGAAGGACGUCUCCAGAGGGGAUCGCAGCAAGGCCGGUCCUGAGGUUUUGAGAGCCCGGGCGAAACUCAAACUCGGGGCCCUUUAAUAUAGACAUCAUGACAAUAAAAUUGUUGGUCUGGCAAACGGCGGUUUCCUGAAAAUGGCAACAACAUCGGUCGAUUUUCCUAAGGAGAACACGAGGCGUGAACGGGAGUGACGUGGCCGACCGCAGCAGCUGGGCAAGGCCCACGUUGUCGCGGGUAGCAGGGUCUCGGGGGUAGACACCAGGCCGAAAAAGAGGGGUAGUAGAGUGAUGGUCGGAACGGCGGCAGACCGACAACGCACGAGGUGGCUAUAGCAAGCCGGCGCGUCAGCGUAACACAAGCUGAGGGUGAUGGUGGACAGCAGUACAUCCAGGGACGGAGUUAGAAAAUUGGCAUGGAGGGGGCUAGACUAUAAGCAAUUGGCUUUAUUAUUUUUAUUAAUUACCUCUCUUCCUAAUCGUGUCUUCCAAGUACAAAUGGAUAACUGAAAAUUUCCUAAUUAAUUAUUGAUGUUUGUAACUUCUAAAAUUCAUCCCACUUCUGUAGUUUUAUAGUCACAAAUUAAUCUAAUGUAAAAAAUAGAGCUGAGGCGCAAUCAAAUUAGAUAUAGCGUAAACUAACCUUUCUUCCUUAGACCAUCACUGUCAUGCUUAUUCGUGUGGGUGACACCAGCCGGCCGGCCAUGCGUGGUGCCCCUGCAGUUCUGCAUUGCUGCCCUUCUCACCCUCUAUGGAUCCACUGGUAUCAGCUUGAUCAGGCGCUCUGCUGAAUCGAUGUCCAUUGGCAGGCAGUCGGCGAACGUGCGUUUGUGCGUGUGCUACAAGGACUUGGAGUCCAGAUCGCGGAGAACGGAGUUGCGGACUUCAUCGGCGACUCGGCGUCGGCGCAUCGCGACUCCACCUGCGACUCUCGGUCGCGGCCAGUCAGCUAGGGUUAACCUGAAUCGGGAUCGGGAAGAAGAAUCGGGCCACCCGCGACUCACGAAGACACCGUGUGAUCGGUGUAAUCAGCGGCUACAUGCCUUCCUAGCCCAUGGGCUACCUGCCUACGUAACAGGCUUUUGGGGGGCCCUGGAUUUGGGGGGCCCGGGGCGGCCGCCCCCCCUGCCCCCCCCUCAGGGCCGGCCUCGCAGUGGUUGAAGCUUCUUCAGUUUUGUCGGACUUGAAUUUCUACUCUGAAAAUGAACCACCAUAUAUCUGCAUCCCUGACUUUCUUAUGGGCGCAAAAUGAGAUUGUGUGAACGGUAACCACAACUUGACAAGGACAACCAAUAAUGUACGUAUUUCCGAACACGCCCUGAACUUGCUUUUACAGAUUACAAAAAUUCCUCCGCUAACCUCAUUAACUCAACUUGUAAUAAUGUACUCGUAUUUCCCAACUCCUGAAUCACUGCUAUGAUUACCACUACCAUCCAAGUGCAAUAUCAGGACCAGUCACGCAAACGUACCUGCUAGUUUACUGUAACUGAAAUUAUCAGGGAACUCUGUGAACCAUCCCCACUUGCUUGCAUCUGCUACCCUUUUACCCUACUGCGGAUCUCUUGUCCAGCAAUACCACAGCAUUUUCUAGGAGACCUUUCAUGCAAGGCUUCCUACACACUCACGACUUCCCUUCGGGGAAGGUAAGUAAAACACUGACCUUGUACAGCUAGAAAUUCAGCAAGUUGUUGACAGUCCCGACUAACCAAAAUUACCCUUGCCCAGAUUCUUCAUAGCAAAGGUCUGUGCAGCUUCAGUAUUCGACUAGGACAGUCUGUGCAGCUUCUACUCGCUUAAUUCGCUGCUACUCAAUGUAAAAUAUUUGGGCACCAUGACAGUUCUAAUGCAACCGAUACAGAGGAGCUAACUGCAGUUCCCUCCACAUUUUCUCAUCCGGGCUUGGGACCGGCAAAGGCAGUGUUAAACUACUCCUACUUAAAACACAAAAAUUAGCAAACACUACAAACAAUUAUUCAGGUAAGCAUACAAGCCACGUAAUCAACCAAAGGAAGCACUGACACCACACACGAUUGGCAAUAAAUAUUCACGCAACAUUUUCGGAAGAUCAUCACACAGACAUAGGGCACAAACAAAGAAUGCCAUAAAUUCCAGAACCUGAAUGGGAGUAACUAAUUACACUAGUGGGAUGAGCGCGAUUCAAGUCUUUGCACAGGGAAAGCUUUCGAAGUUUUAGCCAUUAUAGGGUCAGAGGACUGUAAGAUGUGUGAACAGAUACUUCUGUGUCUUUAAAAUCUAUAUAUAGGAUUUAUUAUUUAGUAUGAAACAGAAUGGGUUUGUCCAAGUUUCAAGUUACGAAUAUGCAAUCGGUAGGAAUCAUCAAAUUAGUACUUCUGCUAGUUGCCAACUAUAUUAAAACUAGGAAGUUGCCAGAAAACUAAGAAUAUAUGUAACUCAAGAGAAUAUGUGGUUCAAGAUUCAGAAUCCAGAUCAAAUUAGCAGUUCACCGGCAAAGAAGGUCAAUUAGCCAUUAGAGGAUGUGUGAACGCUAUGAAAUUAUAGAUUUAAGAAUAUGUAAUUGAAGAUUCCAUAAUAAUCCAUAUCAAAUUAGCAGUUUGACAGUAAAGAAGGUCAAAUUAUCCAUUAGAUGACCACAAGAUGUGUGAACGAUAUGAAAUUGUCUAUUUAAUAAGAAUAUGUAAUGGAAGAUUCCGUAAUCCAGAUCAAAUUAGCAGUUUGCCGUAAAGAGAUCAAAUUAGCCAUUGGGGGACCGUAGAGAUGUGUGAGCAUUUUGUGUCUUUAAAUCCAGGAUGAAGUACGAAACAAACUGCCAUAUGUUGAAAGUAAUCAGCAGGAUUCAUCAUCAACUUAGAGUGUGUUCAGGAAUCAUCAAAUUGGCCAGACUGUUCUGCUAGGUGUCAAUUUAACCAAACCGAGAAGAUGCAUUGAAGAAUCCAGAUCUCACUGGAGAAGCACCAAUGAGAAGAACAUCACUUCUGAAAAUCAACUCCAUACCAACAAAGCAGAAUCAUAUUCAGUGAACAUGUUCAGGGCAAAAUAUUUGUUCAAGCUUCCAAGCUCAGAAGCUUCAACUAUCUAUUGUUUUAGCAUAUAUAGCAAUAACUCCUAACCACUUUAUGCAUAUCAAGUCAUCAUUAUUACCCAACUACAGGAGGCCAACCAACACAAGUGCGAGCGUGGGAUCUUUCUUUAUCACCAAAGUAAAAAAUAUGAGCACACCAAAAUUUGAUUUUGUGUCAUAAGAUGGACCUAAACAACGUAUAAUCAUGGACAACAGUAUGUAGAAUAUGACAAAUCCAAGUAUGACCAAUUCAUAUAUAUAUAUAUACAUAUAUAUAUAUAUAUAUAUAUAUAUAUAUAUAUAUGCAUUAACAAUUUUUACUGUGUUCAGAGCUCAUGUACAUACGAUCUUUACUUCCUAUUGGGUGAUAAAUUUGCAAGUUGAAAGAUACAAGCAGCCAAAUAUCACACUUCCUGAAACAGUAUGGUAACCAGGUAAUUUAUAGUCAAAUCAAACUUUGAUAAUCUGCUAUACAAACUGAGUAUGAACUGAUAUUUCCAUUUCGGACCCUUAUUUGAGACUUCUAGCAUUUUCUUGAUUCGAGCAGAAGAUGAGAUCAUAUUCCAUCCAACCACAUGCAAGUUGAAGAAGAUACCAUGACCAGUAAAAUGGCAGAACAGAAACCAAGUAAGAUGCUUCAGGACAGUUGAAAGAAUCAGAUGUGCACACUACCAACUCCAAGCUGCACCAAAGAUAUGAGGCACUGAAUGCAAGUUCAAACUGAAAACUACCACAAAGACCAUGGCAUUAUGCUUCAGGAUCACUAAUCAGAAGUCAAAACCAUCAGGGAAGCCCAUUUGCUUUCACCAAGUCCCAGUGCUGACUGACUACCCAACUCUACAAUCUUGCAAUAAAACCUCCAAUAAUGCAAAUCAAUGAACGGCCCAAAUAUGACAGGCAUACUUAUCUUCAAGGAAAACCAGACCAUAAUGAAAUCUGGGAAAUCAGUUGAAGCAAGCAUGGAGUCCAGGUUUAAGUUUUUGUGGUCAAGGAAGACUCCUCCAUCCAGAACGAAGCUCCCAAACAGCCAUCAGACAAACAUAAAUCAAGGAACUUAAGGUAUAGCCACUCAAAUCUGACGUCACCAAGCACAGAUGAGGAAUCCAGUAAAUCAAUGUGACCAAACAUGGGAAACUGACCUGCCUCAAGUACCCUUCACCGUUCACACACCAUAUGGAGCUUCAUUUCCAGACCAGAUCGAGAUCCAGUCCUGCAAGCUAAAUUGUAGAGGAGGCCAUAACAAAUUAAACAAACAGACCGUCUACAAGAAUCUGACCUUACUCCAUGUACAGAGCAAAGGUUUGGGCGCAAACUCCUAACUAUUAUAUCUUGCCAACCCACACUCGCAGAAGACCAAGAGAGCACAGGGAUCAAGAGUACAGAUAACAACCAUGGAGAGCUAGUCAUUGCCCACAUGGCCUGGGCUAAAGAACAAUCUGCAACCAUAGGAAGGGCAGGGGCAAAAACCUAUAUCAAAGAGAUGGCCAAGUAACUAAUAAAUGAAAUAAAGAAAAUAGGAAGGUAAGAGUCUUUUUCGGUUGUAGGAUGUGCCAUUAGUUGAAAGCUCUGGAUUAUCCUUAUAUUUUUUUUGCAUAUGGAUCUGUAUUUAAAAUAUUGUCUUAUAAGAUAUUUCAUAGGUUAUAUAAGUUAAAAGAAUUGAAACGAUACUAGUAGAUUUAGAAGAUCAGUAGAUGGAUUCACCGGGUUGGAAAGGAGUUCUUCAACUACAACCUGCAGCGAGCAAGAGGCCUUCUCUAUAAAUUUUUGGUUAGGGGAAAUGCUGCUUAUAAAUAGCUAAAGCAUGGAUGAAACAAUGUGGGAACAAGUAAAAGCCUGUCUAGGGUCAG